rnacentral:rRNA from 1 species
AACGAACGCUGGCGGCAGGCUUAACACAUGCAAGUCGAGCGCCCCGCAAGGGGAGCGGCAGACGGGUAAGUAACGCGUGGGAAUCUACCCAUCUCUACGGAAUAACGCAUGGAAACGUGUGCUAAUACCGUAUACGUCCUUCGGGAGAAAGAUUUAUCGGAGAUGGAUGAGCCCGCGUUGGAUUAGCUAGUUGGUGGGGUAAAGGCCUACCAAGGCGACGUUCCAUAGCUGGUCUGAGAGGAUGAUCAGCCACACUGGGACUGAGACACGGCCCAGAAUCCUACGGGAGGCAGCAGUGGGGAAUAUUGGACAAUGGGCGCAAGCCUGAUCGAGCCAUGCGGCGUGAGUGAUGAAGGGCCUAGGGUUGUAAAGCUCUUUCACCGGUGAAGAUAAUGACGGUAACCGGAGAAGAAGCCCCGGCUAACUUCGUGCCAGCCGCCGCCGUAAUAC